rnacentral:lncRNA from 1 species
CAGAGAGGGAGCCCUUCUUCCCAUGGCCUGCCUCAGUAUCCUCCAGAACUUGUGGUGGAUAUGCACAGGUGCAUGCAUAUAUGUGUGUCCCCCUGCCAUGGCAUUGCAGGAUAUGUGAUUGGGAGCUCAUGUGCACCCACAUAUCCAUCCCAUGAGCAGGUGAGUGAUACCUCCUUAGGGCUGUUUGUAUCUGUGGACUGCCUUGCCCUCUGCCUGGUUCUGGGGUCUCUAGGCGUUACUCAUCUGGGAUCUCUGAAGACUUGACCCGUAUUUCCAAGACCCUACAACUCCAGCCUUGCCCUGUGACAUUGUCAAGGAUCUCCACAGAGGUGACUGUCGCCUAUCCCCAACCACACCAGUGAUCACUCUUCAGAAAGUGACUCUUGGCAAAACUGAGGGAAAUGGCUUCCUGAUGAGAUGGACCUGGAUGGGGAAGCACCUUUGAGCUUGUAACCUAGCAGCCAGGGCCAGUGAGAGGCCACUCCUGCCUCAGUUUCUUAGAACAGUGUUGCUAUCGAGUCUUAGGGUUAAAUGCCUCUUGUGUGAGAUGAUUGGGCCCCUGGAAAAUGUUCAAUUAAAUGGUGACUGUAUAUAGUGAGAAAGAAAGAAAUUAUGGGGAAAAGAUGUCUGUAGUUGUUGUGUUCCCCAUGGCAUCUCACCUCAGAGACCCUCACGCCCCACCCCCAUGGCCUACUCAUCCCAGGCCAUAGAGCUACGGUAUCUUCAGCCAGACUUGGGGUUUCUCUUCUUAUGAGAGAAGGGGGAAGGGUCAAGAGGAAUGCACAGGUUUGGAAAGACAGUAGAUUUCUGGUCCCAGAGAGAUUGGGGAACCUAGUCCUUCACACGUGUUGACUUGCAGUUCAAGGGGAGAUUUAACUGGCGACUGUGUCUCCAGAAACGUACCCCUGCCCUUACGUACGGUCUGCCUUCUGUGAAACAAGAACAGCCUGCCGUCCCUGUGGCCCUUGUACCAGUUGGCCUGCUUCUGGGUUCCAGGCACUGAGGAGGUGUGCCGGCCCCUCUGAGGCAGUAUGUCACUUCCUGCUUGGAGUUGCCUGGGAAGGACUCUCCUUUUCCCUGUAGUUCUGUGUUUCCUUUCCAGGUGACAAGAUCAUAGGUUACUACUUUGGCCACUUCCUGCUUCCCAAGGUAGAGAUUAUCAGAAGACAUCAGAGACUCAGAGAGGCACCUGUCUCCUAAAAGACGCUGAUGCUGGAGAAACUUGGGGUAGUAAAAUGGGUGCUAAAGGAUUUACUAAUAAACUCGCUUGGAAAAUAUUAAGUUACACAAACCU